GGCUGGUCGAUAGAAAAGUUGAGCUAAUUAUGGAUAUGAUGUGCAGCUCUACAAAGUGGAAAAAAAAAUGGAAGUGCUUUUUAAUGUAAAAUUAGUUGUAUAUACAGUGAAAUCUCUUUAAUUUGAUUAGCCAACAUGUGAAAUUUGUGCACCCAUAAAUGAUAUGUCUUAGAAAAGACUUGGAUCCAUCAACGAAAUGGUUUGUUUUGACUUAUAUAGAGCUAUGAAUAUCUCAAAUCCUUUGCAUAGCCAAAUUAUGUGCUUAUAACAACCC
rnacentral:lncRNA from 1 species